CCCUUAGAUGUUCUGGGCGGCCCGCGCACUACAUUGGCACUGUCAGCAAGGGUCUGAAACUAAAACUUUUGGGUAUUCUGAGAACCGGUGUCGUGACUGGGAUUGACCCUUGCAAUUAUUGGUUAUGAACGAGGAAUUCCUUGUAAUCGCGGUUUAUCAGCCCGCGUUGAAUGCGUCCCUGCCCUUUGUACACACCGCCCGUCGCUCCUACCGAUGAAUCGUCCGGUGAAGUUCAUGGAGUAGUGGUUGUUCCAUCCGCUGUCGAAGUGAAAUAAACCUCNUNAUUUAANGGAAGGAGAANUCGUANCA
rnacentral:rRNA from 1 species